CAAUAAUAUAUCCUUGCAAGUUCAAAGUAAUUAAAGUUGAAUAAUAUCUGCUGAGCAUUAAAAGUUCCCCAACCAUGAAGGCAAUCCUUGUUUUCUUUUUACUCUUGGCCUCUAUUUUUUUCCUUCCCAGUUCAACUCUUGCUCGACAACUGGAGGGCGGGGUGACACCUGGUACCAACGAUCCUAAUAUUAGAUGUUCCCCCGGCGGCAGUUAUAGGUCUUGCCUCCCCCCAUCGCCACCAAAACCACCAUGUGAUCCGUAUAUUAGGAAAGGUUGCUUACCAUGAAACUACCGCCAACAGUACUAUAAUUAUGUAUGUAGUUUUUAAUUCUUGGUACUUGCUGCCACAUCUUUUUAACACUCUUCCUGUGUUAAAACUCGGUGGCAUCAUAUGUCAUCAUCUCUAUAUUCCGUGUGGUUUGGCUGAAUAAAUUAAACAUGUGUGCUUUUAUUCCAGUUUGCAUGCAGUUGCAGUAAUCUUGUAAUGUUGUACUGAGACAAAUUAGGCUUGAUCACCAGCCUAAUCCAAUCCAAUAAACAUCAUCUUGAAUAAAGGCUUGGCGUUUUUGCCAAUCCAAUAAAAA